GGUAGAGCACUGAAUUUCCUAGGGGGCGUCAAAGCCUACCGAAGAAUAUCAAACUGCGAAUGGCGGACAGAUGAUGCCAGGGAGUCAGACUGCACGAGAUAAGUUGGGUGGUCAAAAGGGAAAGAGCCCAGACCUACAGCUAAGGUCCCAAAGUGUGUGUUAAGUGGAAAAGGAUGUGGGAUUUCGAAGACAACUAGGAUGUUGGCUCAGAAGCAGCCACACAUUCAAAGAGUGCGUAAUAGCUCACUAGUCGAGAGGUCCUGCGCCGAAAAUGUCCGGGGCUAAAACACAACACCGAAGCUUAGGAAUUCUUUUGAAUUGGUAGAGGAGCAUUGAAGACGGAACGAAGCCAUACCGAAAGGAAUGGUGGACUGUCUUGAAGAGAGAAUGCCGGAAUGAGUAGCGAGAUUGAAGUGAGAAUCUUCAAGGCCGAAUAUCUAAGGUUUCCAGGGUAAAGCUGAUCUGCCCUGGGUAAGUCGGGGCCUAAGGCAAGGUCGAAAGACGUAGUCGAUGGAUAACAGGUUGAAAUUCCUGUACUGCAUCAAAUCAGAAAUGUGGGGACACAUGAGGGAAGCAUGAGCCGGAAAAGGAAAGUCCGGUACAAGCGCAGCAGAGGACAGAUAGGAAAAACCGUCUGUCAACUCGAGGGCGUGAUGUGGAGCGAACCAAAGUAGCGAAGCAUGUGGAGCUUGUGUCGAGAAAAGCCGCUAUAGUGUUUGAUGUACCCGUACCGUAAACCGACACAGGUGGAUGAGGAGAGAAUCCUAAGGCCGGCGGGAGAAGCAUUGUUAAGGAACUCGGCAAAAUGACCCCGUAACUUCGGGAGAAGGGGUGCUCCAGAGAUGGAGCCGCAGAGAACUGGCCCAAGCAACUGUUUAGCAAAAACACAGGUCUAUGCAAAACCGAAAGGUGAGGUAUAUGGGCUGACGCCUGCCCGGUGCUGGAAGGUUAAGAGGAGAGGUUAGCGCAAGCGAAGCUUUGAAUUUAAGCCCCAGUAAACGGCGGCCGUAACUAUAACGGUCCUAAGGUAGCGAAAUUCCUUGUCGGGUAAGUUCCGACCCGCACGAAAGGCGUAAUGAUUUGGGCACUGUCUCGACAAUGCACCCGGUGAAAUUGAAAUACCAGUGAAGAUGCUGGUUACCUGCGCCAGGACGGAAAGACCCCAUGGAGCUUUACUCUAGCUUGAUACUGGGGUUCGGUAUUGCAUGUACAGGAUAGGUGGGAGACUGAGAAGAUGUGUCGCCAGAUGCAUCAGAGUCGAUGUUGGGAUACCACCCCUGCAGUACUGGGCUUCUAACCUGCAGCCGUGACCCGGCUGGGGGACAAUGUCUGGUGGGGAGUUUGACUGGGGCGGUCGCCUCCGAAAGAGUAUCGGAGGCGCUCAAAGGUUCCCUCAGAAUGGUUGGAAACCAUUCGAAGAGCGCAAAGGCAGAAGGGAGCUUGACUGCGACACCGACGGGUGGAGCAGGUACGAAAGUAGGACUUAGUGAUCCGGUGGUAU
rnacentral:rRNA from 1 species